rnacentral:tRNA from 1 species
UACGUUUUAGUAUAGGAUGUAUUAAGGUUUUUGAUACCUUAGGGGGUGGUUUGAGUCUACCAAAUGUAA